rnacentral:rRNA from 1 species
UACGAAUGGGGCAAGCGUUGUUCGGAAUUACUGGGCUUAAAGCGUGCGCAGGCGGCCAAGCAAGUCAGAAGUGAAAUCCCCGGGCUCAACCCGGGAAUUGCUUUUGAAACUGCAUGGCUAGAAUCCCGGAGAGGUUAGCAGAAUUCCGAGUGUAGAGGUGAAAUUCGCAGAUAUUCGGAGGAAUACCAGUGGCGCAAGCGGCUAACUGGACGGGCAUUGACGCUCAGGCACGAAAGCGUGGGGAGCAAACCGG